rnacentral:rRNA from 1 species
AGAAUCAACGCUGGCGGCGUGCCUCAGACAUGCAAGUCGAACGAUUAAAGCUCCCUUCGGGGAGUGCAUAGAGUGGCGCACGGGUGAGUAACACGUAAGUAAUCUACCCUCGGGUGGGGAAUAACGUUCGGAAACGAACGCUAAUACCGCAUAAUGCAGCGGCACCGCAAGGUGACAGUUGUUAAAGAUUUAUUGCCUGGGGAGAGCUUGCGGCAGAUUAGCUUGUUGGUAAGGUAACGGCUUACCAAGGCUACGAUCUGUAUCCGGUCUAAGAGGACGGUCGGACACACUGACACUGAAUAACGGGUCAGACUCCUACGGGAGGCAGCAGUCGGGAAUUUGGGCAAUGGGGAACCCUGACCCAGCAACGCCGCGUGAAGGAUGAAGUAUUUCGGUAUGUAAACUUCGAAAAGAAGUAAGGAAGUAAUUAAUGAACGGUUAACUAAUUUAGUAAAGGUCCGGACUAAACUACGUUAGACCUAAGCCAGGUCCGACGGUUAA